rnacentral:lncRNA from 1 species
GUUUGAAACCUUUAUUAGAUCUAUGAUUGAAGAGAUACGGGGUUACAAAAAGUAUAAGUGUGAAACACGAUUUAAGGGAUUCAAGAUAGAUAAGCACAAGUAUAAACAAGGUUUAGGGUUGAAAGUCUACAAGUACAAAUAUAAAUAAGAUUUAAGGGAGUUUAAGGUCUACAAGAGCAAGUAUAAAUAAAAUUUAAGAAAAUUUAAGGUCCACACCUAUAAGUGUGAAUGGAAUCUAAAGAAAUUUAAGGUCUACAAAUUUGAGUAUAAAUGGAAUUUAAGAUAAUUCAAGAUCUAUAAGUCCAAGUGUAAAUGGGAUUUUAGAGGUCUAGGGUCUACUAAUACAUGUGUGAAUGGGAUUUAAGGGAUUGAGGAUCUAUCAAUGUGAGUGCGAAAAGGGUUUAAGGAAUUGAGGGUCUAUGAAUGCAAGAGUGAACAAGGUGCAGUAUAGGAUUGAAGAUCUACUAAUACAAGUGUGAAUGGAAUGCAAUUAAGGUUGAGGUUCUAUUAGUGCAUGUGUAAAUGUGGUGCAGUUCAAGAUCUACAAAUGCGAAGGUGAAUAUGAUUUAAUGAGUUGAGGGUCUAUCAAUAUGAAUAUGAAUAGGGUUAAAGGAAUUCAAGGCCUACUAGUACAAGUGUAAAUGGGGUUUUAAGAAUUCAAGGCCUACUAGUAAAAGUCCAAACAAGGUUCAAGGUUGAGAGUCUAUCAAUAUGAGUGUGAACAAGGUUUAGAGUUGAAGAUCUACCAAUGCGGGUGUAAGGACUUUAGUAUCUACCAGUGGAAAUGUAAAUAGAGUUUAGGAUUGAGGGUCUAUUGGCAUAAGUGUAAACGGAAUUUAAAGAGGUUUAAGGUCUACAAAUGCAAGUAUAAAUGGAUUUAAAGAAUUUUUGGAUGUACAAAUACGAAUGUGAAUCAAGCUUAGGAUCCAAAGUAUACGAUCAAGGUUAAGAAAUUACAAGUGUGACUAAGGGUUUAGGAUUUAAGAUCUACAAUUGCAAGUGUAAACAGAGUUGAAGGACUUAAGGUUCAAAAAUAAAGUAUAUCAAACACACAUGAGUUUACAUCUUACACUAACAAUUGUAAUCGCAAAGCCUAUGCAAUGUAUUAUACAUGGAUAUGCCAAUUUGGACUAUAUUGUCGAAUGAAGUGACCAAAUUUAAGAUUCAUGAUUUUAGAGCAUAGGAAUUUAGAAUUUAGGAAUUAGGUUUAGGAAUUAGGAUUUGAGAUUUAGGAUUUAGUAUUUUUUUUUAAAAAAAUGAUUUAAGAUUUAAGAUUUAGAGUUAUAUGUGUGUUCCUUAAAAAAUUCACAUACUUAUUUUGGAACUUUGAGUUAACUUAUCCUUCCAUUUUCAAAGGUUGUGGUUCCAAUGGUGCAAUUAAUUUUACUUAUGCUUCUUUCAUUUAAUACAUAUACAUUCUUUGACAUUUAGAUAUAGAGUUGGUUUUUCUUUAAUGAAGAAUUUCAACAUUUUGAGGAGAUAUAUUCCCAUACUUUAGAAUGCUAUGAAUCUAGAGGUAUAUUUAGUUUUUCUAAAAAAUAUAUAAUUUGGAUGAUAUAGAGGUUUUAAAAGUGAAUUUAAGAAUUAGUAAAUUCUUAUGUUUUUGGAGUUUUGAAAUUUAGAAGUGACUUAUCCUCCCAUUAUCAAGGAUUUUGAUUCUAAUAGAAUAAAAUCAUUUCUUUAUGCUAUUUCUAUUUCAAAGAUAUAAAAAAUUGGAAUUUUUAGGAUUUAGGGUUGAUUUUAGAAACUUAGGGUUUUAGAUUUAGGAUUGAUUUUAGAAUCUUAAGAUUUAAAAUUUAAGAUUUAUAAUAACAAAUUUAUAAUUUAACAUUAACUUAUUAUAUACCAUUACUAACAUCUUCAAAAAUCAUUCAUAUUAGAUUCAAAAAUCAAAACAAUCCAAUAAGAAUUACACUCAAAAUCAACAAUCAAAGUUUUGACUUUCUUAAAAUAAAUUUGAGAUAUAUUUAUGCUCAUAUCUAAAGAUUUACAAAAAUCCCACAAAUAUACUAUACACUAUUGAAAUUGCUUUAAAAAAUCAGCCACAUUAGACUCAAAGAUUUUAAAAAUUAAAUCAAAUUCGUAUACAUAAUCAAAGAUUUGGCUUUUUUAAAAUAUAUUUGCCACACAUUUUAGCUCAUAGCUAGAGAUUUAUAAAAACAAAAUCCACAAAUGUGCUAUAUACCAUUAGAAUUGCCUUGAAACAUCAAUCAUAUUAGACUCAAAAUUUACUAAAAUUGAAUCAAAGUUGCUUAUGAAAUCAACAAUCAAAGUUUUGGCUUUUUUGAAAAAUAUUUGCAACACAUUUUUGCUUAGAGAUUUAUAAAACACCCACAAAUAUGCUAUAUAUAAUUGCAAUCACCUUGAAUAGUUAGUCAUAGUAGAUUAAGUUUAGGAUUUAGGAUUUAGAGUUACAUGUGUGGUUUUAGAUUUAAGAUUUAGGAUUUAGAAUUACAUGUGUGUUUCUAGGUUUAGGAUUUAGGGUUUAGGGUUUAGUAUUUAGGAUGUCUCAUUACAAAAAUGUCAAAAGUUUGAAGUAUACAUAAAAUUUUAAUUAUGAAACUUUAAAUCUUAAAAAAUAUCUAUCAAGUAGAUUGUAUAUAUUCUCUCCAAUCAGUCCUAUAGAGGCCAAUAUGGUGUCAAGCAACGCCUAUACAAUCUAUGUAAAUUCUAUUCUUUAGCAAAUAUCCACAACCAUUAGUUAGGUUUAGGUUUAAGAUUUAGAGUUAAAUGUGUGUUCCCAAAAAAUUUACAUACAUUUUUUAGAAUUUUGCAUUUAUCCACCCUCCCUAUUUUUAAAAGUUGUGGUUCCAAUGGUGCAAUUAACUUCACUUGUGCUUUUAGCAUUUGAUAGAUAUAAACAGUUUCAUUUUGAGAUGUAGAAUUGACUUCUUUUUUUGAUGAAGAAUUUCAACAUUUUGAAGAGACUUAUUCCCUUAUUUUGAAAUAUUGUGAAUUUAGUGGUGUAUUUAAUUUUUCAAAGAAUAUAUGAUUUGGAUGAUAUGGAGGUUUUACAAAUAAAUUUUAAAAUUGAUAAAUUCUUAUAUUUUUGGAAUUUUAGAAUUUGGAGGUGACCUAUCCUCCCAUUAUCAAAGGUUGUGAUUCUAAUGGAGUAAAAACAUUUACUUAUGCUAUUUCUAUUUGAAUAUAGAAAUAGUAGAAAAGUACAUCCAACGUCCCCUCUGCACAUCAUGUUUUAUCAAUGUAUGUCUUUGAGCCCAAAAAAUAGUGCAAGCCUACCUGCCUGCUGGCAUCAAUUUCUACAGAUACAUGUAACCCUUCAGCAACAGAUACACAUAACCAGUCAGAAUCUGUCAGCUGGUUCAAAUUGGACCUAGUCGAGCAUGGAUGCAAAUGCAUGAUUCACAAUCCCUCUGUUUCUAGACACGCCGCUAAGUAUCAAGCGCACGAUAGCACUAUCCAAAUGGAGUGUUGACCCUGCUCUGAUGCCAUUAACACGGUACUUCUAGCUGUAACACGAUAAGUGAAAGUUCCUUGGACAAGGGCUUGCCUUGCAUUUAACAAGGCAGAAUACAAGGAUAUCUUGCAUCAUUUGCUUCUUCCCCCACUGCUCCACCAUGUGAGAAAAAAAGACGCUUUAAGCGCACGCGCUCUGCCUCCUGUAACUUCUUGUUGCUGGUAAUACACGAGAAGCCAAAAUCCAGGAUGCGGACAGUAGGCUUCUUUCCCCACACAACCAUAAUGUUACUUAAGGAAACAUCUCCAUGAAGCAACCCGCAUGCAUGGACUGCAGCAAGCGCUUCAAGCGCUGCAGUCUCCACUUCCCGGGUCACCGCCACUGAAACAUAAUCACCACAAAAGGCAAAUAAAUGACAACUCUGCCAGCAGAUUGCAGGUGGUCAAAGGUAUUGGCCCUUCAAAAAAAAAAACACUUCAUAGAAUCACCAUGCCCAGGCUACGAGAAACCCUCAAGACCAGAAUACGGAGAGUAGGAUGCUCCGCAUCUGAGAGUUUUGCAAGAAAUCCUACCUUCUCCAAGCUCAACACCGUCAAUCAAUUCAGUCGCGAUAAAUACAACCCGACCGUUAUUUGUGGUUCCAUAUCCUAUUAAUCGAGGAACAAAAACCCCCCAAAGCUUCUCCAUCUUCGUAUAGGCAACCACCUCCUUCAGGAGAGCCUGCACAAGCGCGGCCAAAGAUGGGCUGGGCAGAGUCAGAUCACAAACAGGUAAGUGCCGCAAACUGCACGUGCACUUGAACACCAGCAUGCUCCACGUUGCAUCUACCAAAGACUACCUGUCAGUAAAGAUGUCACAAACAGGACCUCUCCACCUCAGUCCCCGGAUUAGAUGAAGUAGCAGCCACUUUGAGAUGUGAACGCAACAUUUCCACAUGACACAACUCCGGCUCACCUCCGCACGUUCUGUGCCUAAGUGGGCAAACUUCAAUGCAACAAGUUGGCCAUGCAAACGGCCAUUAACAACGCAUCCACUCCACCCCUCACUACUUAUGACACCGCCCGCCUUUUUCAGGUUCAGGUCCUCCGCGGGGACAUCUUCCAAAGCCAGCUGCGCCCCACCCGAGCUAUGUCUUUCAGACCUGCAAAUGCAGUUGCUGUCAUUUCACCAUUUGCUCUCGACUACGUGUCCGACUUCAUGGAACAAACUUGAAUAGCUGGCUGGACAAGUUACCUUCGUUUUCCAGAGGAAGAGAUAUUUUGUCUCACACGUGCUGUAAAGGUUCGAUCAUUGAUGUCGUCAUCACUGCUUUCGUCGGAAUGUUCAGAGGGGGCAGCUUCAUGAACUAAGGGAAAUUGGCCAUUCCCCGUUGGGUCACCAAACUCAGAGUUAUCCACUGCAGCAGCGUGCACCAAAUAUGACAACGCAGCGAGCACACGCGGGGGCUCAGCACUCGCCGUAAUACCAGCUGAUAUUUUGAGGCAGCCGGCAUUAUCCCGUUUGAAGAGAUACCAAUUUCUUGCAUCGGUUAGAACACCGUAACCCACCUUACACCUGCAACUCAGAGCAAAGGGAUAGCAAAAUGAGAACUGCCCCGCAUUCCAUGUUGUGGUUUUGCCAAACGUAGAUGGGAAAACCAAGACGGUACGAGAACAUCCCACUGGCAGGACGAAGGGAGAUACAAGUAAGAAGAAGAGAACAAGAUCAUCUUAAGUGAGUCAACGUAGAACCAGGAUCAACAGGCAGUAGAAUGCAGCUUGUUAGAAAAAGGGUUUCUUGUUUAUUGGGAUCGGAAAAGGCAAAGGCCAAGCACGUAAACGCUGAGCUCCAAGCGAAUCUAGCCAAGAGGAAAAACUACCGAGAUAAUCAGGGGUUCAAAAGAAGCUUACAGAACCAUGUACUCAUACAACUGACUAAUACAACGGAUGAUCCUUUCACCAUGAGAUGGCGUGAUGCCACAAACGGCGAACCCGCACCUGCCCUCUCCUGCGAUUAUUGGAACCUCUGUCAGAAUGCUUGCAACAAUGUAAGAAUUGGAACACACUAUGAAAAUAUGGGAUAGGGCCAGAUAGAACCUGAUGUGCAAGAGCAAUCUGUCCAAACUCGGUGGAGAAACCAGGGGUCAUCUCCGUCACUUCCCAGACCUUCAUUCUUGACCUCGAAGACCAAAGCAUUCUUCUCCCUAAAAGUGAUUACGAAAUCUGCUCUAGGGCUUCCGGAAUAAACGUCAACCAUGGCACUUGAACUCGCACCCUCACUCGAUCCUAUCCCGUCAUUUCCCCCUUUUCUCUUGCUCAAGAUUAUGAAUUCCGACUUAAAGUGAAGGUUACACUGCGGCUCCUUCUUCUGCAUAAAAGAUACCAUUUCCCCCAGGAUAAAAGCGAUAUGAUGAUUCUCAUGCUUCUCUUCCAGUCUAGUGUCCUGAGUGAAAGCGGUGACAGCCAUUCGAAACACACGCCUCCUUCUAUCUGCGCUUUCUAGAUAUUCUUCGAUCUCGUUCAUUACAUCCCAAUGCUCUACUCUGACAGGUAACCACAUCCGUGCAUGGCUCGAGCUGCUUGGGUAAACGCCAGCCCGUGAAGAGCGAGUCGGCGGCACGACCUUCUGCACCAGCCACUCAUAUUCUGUGCCCAGGUCUGCAUGCACAACACAACCUAAGAUUGAACUUGAUAUACACGCACCUUCACAAGCAUCACCAAUCCGAGGAGGAUCCAAACAGGUUCUAGGACAACCCUAUGGACGGAUCGCCUCCAAACGACCCACAAUAAAGAGUACACAUAACCCAGAACACCUAGUUCGGCAACAAAGAACCGGCUACGGGACAAUCGAGGUCAAUGAAGUAAACUAUCCAAUCCUCUGCCAUUCCUAAUUCCACAACUAUCAAAUUAAACGUCCCCCAAGAAUCCGGCGGCCCCCCGCAAACAAUAAAAGACAAAAACCUGAGGAGAUGGGCCUUCAAUGGCAAGUGACGAGUGAAAGGAGUGACCUCGUCGUUGCAGGAUUUGCGCUUUCUCGUCCCGGAGUUGCGCUUUCUCGCCGCCGAGUUGCGCUUCUCUGUCCCCGAGUUGCGCUUCCCUGUCCCGAAGUUGCGCUUUCUCGCCCCGCAGUAGCUUUCUCUCUUCAUCGCUAGGGCAUCUGUUGAUCUCCUCUUCCAAUCUUUCUAUCUUCUCUUCCACUAAUCUUAUCUGCUCGUGCACACGUCGAAUCUGGUCGUCCACGCCUCGUAUCUGGUCGUCCACGCUUCGUAUCUGCUCUUCCGAAUUUCCACCACCGUCAGCCAUUCUUCUCCACGGCCCAAUUCAAUAGGCAACCAACGAGGCGAGCCCGAUCUGAGGAACACGACCCCCUAUACCCCCAGACGAUGAUUUCUCCACGCUACUCUCAGAGCACAAGUCCUCAUCACCGCUUCCACCAACUUCAAGACCCCUUGCACCAGCAUCCAUGUGCAGCAAACUUAUCUAUAUCAACGUCCAGAAUGUCCACCGGCAUAAAUGUCCAGCACCUCACGUCCCAAUCGUCAGAAAGAAGUCGCUGAGUUGAAGCAAAUGAGACGAAGUAGACCCUAACUCGAAACCUCAACGAGCACCCCGAUACCCAGAUCAAAACUGUCCAAUACCCACCUAAACCGAAUCCCAAACCACGUUCAAACUAUCACUUAGCCAAACCAGUCCUAAAGUAGGUACCGUAUCUUGGAACGCCCGUUAUUGCGUUGGUAAAAAGCUGGGCUCAACUUUAACGUGUUCAGGUUACAGGGAGUCUGUGUUUUUGAAGAUUUGUGAGGAUCCAUUAUAAAAUACAACUCGGGAGAAGAAUGUGGAGGUGAUGUAUGAACAAAAGUUGUUGAUGUUGAAUUUUACACUACAUCUAUAUGGUUAGAUUUGCUAUUGCUAUCACCAAUAUUUUAAUAAAAAUUUGAAACAUAAAAUAAAAAUUAUUUCUAAAUUUCCAUUACAAACAAAGAAUAGGCCAAUUUUGCAUGAAAUUUGUUUGAAUGGAGUUGAAUUGCGACAUUCCUAAUGAGGUGAUUAUUUGGAAUUUUCAUUCUACAUAAAUAAAAACUUGUUUUUAUUUAUGAACUCACUUGUUGAAGGACACUUUAUAAUUGAAAGUUAUGUGAAUCAAAUUGUCACAUGCUUUUAUUCUCAUAGUCCUACUGAAUUUUUCUAUUUUUCAUUCCACCAAUGACAAAAGAUUGUGGUAUUUUUUUAUUUUUAUUUUUACAUUAAUAUGAUGAAUUUUGUCUAUAUAGACCACUUUGUAUGUCAAUAAUUCAUAGGUAUAUAUAACUUUUUUUUAAAAAUUGAUGGUAAAUUUUUUAAUGGUAUUAUCACAAUCCAUUAUUAUCAAGGACAUGAAUCUUGAAGAAAUGAAAGAUCAAGACACUCCUGUAUCACUCAAAAAGAUUAGAUAAUCACUCAAAGAUGGUAUAAUAUUAAACUAGAAUAGCUAUCGCCAAAAACAAGAAGAUUGGAAAGUCUUGAAAUAAGACUAAAGACUAGAAAGAAAUUGACAAGAGUGAAGAAGGCUUCACUCUUGCCACUAUAUAUUCUAUCUAACUAAGAACUACAUGACAACAUUCUAUAAGACCUUCAACAUGUGUUCAAAUUGCGAGACACAUGUCUUAACUUGCAAGGCAAGUAUUCUAAAUGUACACCACAUAGUUAGAUUGUUCCACAACCUACCAACACAUAUCACACUUGGCUAACUUGUUGACUAAGUGUCAAGGACAAGAACUCGAUGAAAGCUAAAGAGUAAGUGAGACUUUUCUCAAAAAGAAAUAGGACAAAAUAGAAAUAUGUAUAUUAAGAAAGAAACUGGAAUGGCUAUUGCCAAAAUACAAGAAAACUAGAGACCCUUGAAACUAGACUAGAAGCAAGAAAGGAGUUGACAAGAGUGAAGAAGCCUUCAUUCUUGUCUCUAUAUAUACUAUGUAACUAGGGGCUACGUGGCGACGUUCUAUAGGACCUCCAAUAUGUGUUGACUUUGUAGGACACAUGCCUUGACUUACAAGGCAAGUUUUUCUACGUGUGGGCCACAUAGUUAGCUUGAUCUUCAAGCUAACAACAUGUGUGGCACAUGGCCAACUUGUUGACCACGUUUCUAAUCCAAAAAGUCAAUUAAAGACACCUAUGAAGUCAAAGCAGCAUCUAGGAAGUUUCUAGGAAGCUUCUAUAUUAAAUAUUAUAGAAUUAACUUACUUUUAUCUACUUUUACUUACUUCUACCUAUUUCUAUAUGUAAUUAUUAGCUUACAUGAUUAUAGCCGUGACAUUACCCCCCUUUCUAGGAACGAGUUCCACCAGGAGCGGUCAUCAUAUGUUGAGGAAAUCUAUGAUGCGACGAAUUAUAUUCGCCACAUACUUUGAUCUCUGUUCUCUUCGAAGAUGAUUGAUAGGGCCUCUCAACCAUCGGUAGUGUCCCAUACCAGGGCGGGAAGACCACCCAGUUAUUUGAUCAUUGUUGAGGCCUUUGUAACUUUCUUCGAAUAGAAUAUUCGGAACACCAUCAGGAGUUGUUCCUACCUCUAGCAAAAUCACCAGACAUCGAGAGUCCCUUCCCAAAUCGUGAUACCAAAUGCAUUGUAUCUCACCAUCUAUUCGAGGAAGAACAUGUCAUUCUUGAAGAUCUUCAUCUAGAUUGCGUCGUCUUGAAGGUUGUGACAAUCGUAAUGUCUCGUCUCAAUCUUGUCUCUUUUGUAAGAGAGAUUUUCAUCUUGGUUUCGAUGGAUGUCGUUGAUGAAAAACUUUGACUUUAGUUGAUGCAUUUAUUAGAUUCCUGGAUGGCUCCCAUGUGCGUUCACUAAUAUCAUAUCCGCGCCAAUGAACAAGAUAUUCCAGCUUAUUUCGGCGCCGCCUUGAGUCUAAUAUCUCUUCCACCUCAAAUUCUUCAUUAUUAUCUACUUCUAUAGGAGGCGGUGGUAUUUGUCUUCUUUCUUGUAUAUCCACUGUCUUAUAUGGUUCAAGAAGAGAUACGUGGAAUACAGGAUGGAUCUUCAUUGACUCUGGUAGAUGUAACCGAUAUGCAACUGGGUUGAUCUGUUCAGAAACAGAAAAGGGGCCAAGCCUACGAUAGUCCAACUUGUCACAAGGUCGAGUAGUCUUGAUAUUACGACGAAGUAGCCAUACCUUAUCACCGACGUUGAUCUGUGGUUGCUCCUUACGAUAUAGAUCUGCGUUUAUCUUUUGUCGUUCUUGAGCUUCCUUCAAUUGUGUCUUUAUUAUUGCAUGUAACUCUGACAACCGAUUUGCCAUAUCUUCUGCUGCAGGAUUAUCAACUUUUGAAAAAUCAAAAGUAUCAAGUCGUGGAUGAUAGCCAUAAUUGGCAAAGAAAGGUGUUUGUUGCGUGGAAGAAUGUACCGUAUUAUUAUAAGCAAACUCUGCCAAUGGCAGAAGGUUUGUCCAAUCAUCUUGUUGGUAGUUGAUGGUACACCUUAAAUACUGUUCCAAGACUUGGUUUACGCGCUCUGUUUGUCCAUCAGUUUGAGGAUGGAAAGCUGAAGAUAGCUUUAUGUCCACUUUUAAAAUCUUGAAAAGAGUCCUCCAGAAUCUCGACACAAAUUGAGUUCCCCUAUCCGAUAUGAUAUCUUUAGGUAAUCCAUGAUAGCGAUAGAUAUUAUCAAUGAAAAGCUUAGCUGUUUCCUCACCUGUGAUAGAUUUUGUACAUGGCAUAAAAUGUGCCAUCUUGGUGAAACGAUCUACUAUCACAAAUAUAGAAUCAUAAGAUCUUGAGUUUGGAAGAUCUGUGAUGAAAUCCAUAGAAACAGAAGACCAUGGUUGUUCUGGUAUAGGUAAUGGCUGAAGAAGUCCGUAAGGUCGAUGUCGAGGAAUUUUUGAUCUUGAACAAAUAUCACAUGAUUGUACAAAGUCUUUGACUGACUUCCACAUUUGUGGCCACCAAAAAUCUCUUGAUAUGAGUUCCAGAGUCUUAUUAUAUCCAAAGUGCCCUGCUGCUGGAAAGUCAUGACGUGCUUGAAGAACACGCAAACGUGCUUUUCCUUCUGGAACAUAUAGGCGUCCUUCAAAAUAUAAUAGAUUAUUCUUGAACUCGAACUUAGAAGAAUCAUGAGACUUGGAAGAAUUAUUCUCGAUAUCAUGAACAAGAGGGUCUGAGGACAUACUGGACUGGAUUUGCUUGAGAAAAGUUGAAUCAACAGUCAAUGUUGAUUUCACUGCUCGGAGAUGAAAUUGCUCCGGUUUCAAGAGGACCGUUCUUUGUUGCUCAAAAGCUGCAUCUCCUUCUUUUGGUGCAAAAUAAGAACGUCUAGAUAGGGCAUCGGACAAACCUUGUUGUUUUCCUGGCCGAUAAGUGAUAAUGAAGUCGAAUCUUGACAAAGACAUACUCCAACGAGCUUGACGACGAUUCAACACGCGUGCUGACAUGAAAUACUCGAGGUUCUUGUGAUCUGUAUACACAGUGACUGGACUAGAAGCACCUUCUAGAUAAUGACGCCAUUCUUGAAAGGAAUCCACGAUUCCAAGAAGUUCUUUAUCGUGGAUCUCAUAAUUGAUCUCGGCUGCUGAGAAUUUUCUUGAAUGAAAAGCUAUCGGAUGAAGUUUGUCAUCUGUUCCCAUUUGUGAUAAAACUGCACCCAAGGCAAAAUCCGAUGCGUCUGUUUCCAUAAAAAAUACCUUAGAAAAGUCAACACGAUAUAAGACUGGUGCAGAGACAAACGAUGUCUUCAAGGCUUCAAAUGCUGCUUCCGCUUCUUGAUUCCAUUGGAAUUUAUCUUUACUAGUUAAGCGUGUAAGUGGAGCUGCAACUCGUGAGAAGUCUUUGAUGAAGAUCCGAUAGUAAUUGGCAAAUCCCAAGAAACAUUGGACAUCUCUUACAGUCUUUGGAAUCUUCCAAUCCAUGAUUGUUUGGACUUUCUUAGAAUCCAUCAUAAGACCAUCAUUUGAAAUGAUGUAUCCUAAAAAGUCAACUUGAGUAGUGUGAAAUACACACUUUUCCAUCUUGGCGUACAAUCCUGCAUCUCUGAGUUUUUGUAAUACUUGACGAACAUGUAUUUCAUGUUCUUCAACAUUCUUAGAAUAAAUCAGGAUAUCGUCUAGGUAGCAGACGACAAAAUUGUCUAAGAAUUCACGAAAUACAUCAUUCAUGAGAUGUUGAAAAGCAGCUGGUGCAUUCGUGAGUCCAAAAGGCAUGACAUUAUAUUCAAAAUGCCCGUACCUGGUUCGAAACGCAGUCUUCCAUUCAUCUCCUUCUUUGAUCCGUACUAGAUUAUAUGCUCCUCUUAGAUCUAUUUUUGUAUAGAUCUUAGCUUGAUUUAACUGGUCAAGGAGUCCUGAUAUCAAAGGUAAUGGAUACCUGUUCUUGAUUGUGAUCUUGUUGAGUCCUCGAUAGUCAACACACAUUCGUAAAGAUCCAUCUUUUUUCUUUACGAAUAAAAUUGGAGCUCCUGCUGGAGAUUUUGAAUGGCGUAUGAAAUUCUUCCCUAAAUUCUCGUCAAUAUAUGUCUUGAGUUCAGCCAACUCAUCUUGCGAUAAACUGUAAAUUGGUCCAAAUGGUGGCUGAGUUCCUUCCUUGAGAUCGAUUGAACAAUCGUAUGGGCGAUGCUCAGGAAGAAUAUCUGCAUUCUUUUUCUCAAAAACGUCUUGAUAAUCCUGAUAUUAACUUGGAAUGCCACUUGAAGUCUUUACGCUUUCAGAAAUAGGUGCAGCAUAAAUAGAAAAAGUUGAUCCUUCUUUUGCUGCGUGUAUAAAUGCUUUUGCACCUAUAAGUGCGAGUUUUACUAUACUAGACUCAUGGUUUUUUACUUGAUUAAUAGAACUGUUACUAAUGCUCUGAGGAAAAUCAAGUUUACGAGAAAUCCAAUCUAUUCGAGGAUUAUACUUUUCUAACCAUGAUAAGCCUAAAAUUACUGGAUUAGAGGGAGAUCUAAUUAUAUUAAAAAUUACGCAACUACUAUGACCAUUUAUUACUACAUCUACAGGAAGUGUUUCGUGAGUUACAUCUCCAGAAGACAACGGACGACCAUCUAUGACUUCUACGUGUACAGGUUUAGUUUUUUGUAUUAAUGAUAUUCUAUGACAUCUAGCAAAUUCUUCAUCUAAAAAACAAGAUGAGGCUCCUGAAUCUACCAAGGCAGAGGCUUUGUAAUUAUUAGGUCUUAAACGCACAUCUAUUAUAAAACAAGGAGAUGGUUCUGAGGAGAGGAUAGGACCUUCAUUAGAAGUUGUACAAGAUUCCAGCCGCACGGUCCCUAUUGUAGCUGGACGUACUCGUUUUCCGACAUACUGUCUUCUUUGACAGCCGUACUCCUCAUUUUGUAGUUACGUCGCUUCUUUGGACAAUGUUGAGCAGUGUGCUUAGGUUCUCCACAAUAUAAGCACAAUCCUUCUUGUCGACGACGAGACUUUUCUUGCUCAGUAAGAGGUUUGAAACGUACCGCAUCAAUUUGUAUAUCCUCUACUUCUGAAGGUAUGUGUUGAGGAGACGUCGGUGUUGCCAUUGAAUUGUAGUAACGUUGAGGCCCACUUGUGCGACUCUCGGAUCGAAAUUCAAAAAGUCGAUUGUCGCAUUUCACAGCAAAGUCAAUUACUUGACUCAAUGUUUGAGGAUCAGGUAAAUUAAGCAUCAAUUUCUUUACCUCAUAUUGUAAUCCGUAGAGAAAUUGACUCACAAGUGCGGCAUCAUCCCACUUGAUAUCAGUUGCAAGUUGUCGAAAUUGCGAAGCAUAUAAUGUUACUGAUCGAUUGCCUUGUCGCAAAAUACGGAUCUUGUUGGUUGCAACACGAAUUGCAUCAUGUUCUCCAAACAUGGAUCGAAACUCCGCCAAAAAAGCCUCCAGAUUAUCCAAUAUUGGAUCUCGUCGUUCAAGAAAAGAUGAAAACCAUGACAAUGCUGAACCUGAAAGAAGUGUACCAAUGAAUCUAACUUGUGACCCUGGAGUUGGAUAGCUCUGGGGUUGAAGUUCGAUCACUAGUUGGACCUGAUUGAUGAAUCCUCGAAACUUGGAUCUGGUACCAUCAAACUUCUCGGGCAAGGCAACUCUCGGUUCUCUAACACUCGAAGGGUGUUCCAUUUUGGGAGAAGGGACAUGGUUUGGUGCAGAUGUUGAAGCAGCCCCAAUCAUCUCUAUAUCUUCACUUCCUACCAUUCUUGUUGCUCCUUGUGGUGGUAAAUUGAGUUGAUGCAUCGCAAGCAUUAACUCCCUCAAUUGUUCUUGCAUCUGUGCCAUUGCACUCUUCAUUUCAACAAGCUCUGCCAUAGUAGCACUUAGAAAAGAGAAGAUGUCUAAUAACGCUCAAAACAAAUAGAAGAGAGGAAUUGAUAACAAAGAAAAUACUAAGAACAAUAUCAGUUUAAAAGAGGAUAAUCCGCAACUUCUAAUGCGCUUAUGUCUUAUCAAGAAAAAGGGGUAAUCCACUCUUAAUCAAGAAAAGACAAAGCUCUGAUAUUGUAAGUGUACUCUUGUCAAUCUGUCAAGGACAAGAACUCGAUGAAAGCUAAAGAGUAAGUGAGACUUUUCUCAAAAAGAAAUAGGACAAAAUAGAAAUAUGUAUAUUAAGAAAGAAACUGGAAUGGCUAUUGCCAAAAUACAAGAAAACUAGAGACCCUUGAAACUAGACUAGAAGCAAGAAAGGAGUUGACAAGAGUGAAGAAGCCUUCAUUCUUGUCUCUAUAUAUACUAUGUAACUAGGGGCUACGUGGCGACGUUCUAUAGGACCUCCAAUAUGUGUUGACUUUGUAGGACACAUGCCUUGACUUACAAGGCAAGUUUUUCUAUGUGUGGGCCACAUAGUUAGCUUGAUCUUCAAGCUAACAACAUGUGUGGCACAUGGCCAACUUGUUGACCACGUUUCUAAUCCAAAAAGUCAAUUAAAGACACCUAUGAAGUCAAAGCAGCGUCUAGGAAGUUUCUAGGAAGCUUCUAUAUUAAAUAUUAUAGAAUUAACUUACUUUUAUCUACUUUUACUUACUUCUACCUAUUUCUAUAUGUAAUUAUUAGCUUACAUGAUUAUAGCCGUGACACUAAGUUUCUAACCUACAAACACGUAUAUAAUCAAAGCCGCAUCUUCAAAGCUUCCCUAGAAGAUAUUAUAAAAUUAAUCUAUUUUUAUCUACUUCUAUUUAAUCAUAUAGGUAAUUAUUGGAAUAAAUAUGUAUGUCCAUGAUAGUAUCUUUCUGCUAAGGAUAAAUUCCACAAAGAGUUGUCAUCAUAGAUUGAAGAAGUUUAAGAUGUGGAGAAUCAUGUUUGAUAGAUAAUUUGAUCUUUGUUGUUUUUGAAGAUAGUUGAUAGGUCAUCUCAGCUAUCAAUAAUAUUUCAAACUAAGGCGAGAAGACCACCUUAUUAUUUAAUCAUUGUUGAAGCCUUCAUAAAUUCUUCCAAAAAAAAAUAUUUGAAAUAUUGUCAUGAGACUUUUCUAUCUCUAAUAAAAUCACCAAACAUUGGAAGACUCUUCCAAGGUCAUGAUACUAAACACAUUAUAGCUUACCGUCUAUUCAAAGAAAAACAUCUUAUUCUUGAGGAUCUUCAACUUGAUUAUGUCAUCUUAAAAGUUGUAACAAUUACAAUAUCUAAUCUAGUAAGUUAAUAAAUGAUAGUUCUUGAAUUGAAUCUACUUGUUGUUGAUUCUCCAUCUCAUUAGUACCACAAUUAUACAAAAAUAGAAAUAAAGAUAAAAGACAGAAUGCUAUCUUUUUUAGAUCUUGUUUCUUUUAUAACAAUUUUUUUUUAAUCUUUCAUCUUGAUUUUGAUCAAUGUCAUGAAUAAAAAGCCUCAAUCUUCUCUCAUGCAUUUGCAUGAUUUUUUUUGACUUCCAUGUUCAUUCACUAAUAUUAUAUCUACACCAAUGAACAAGAUGUUUUAAAUUAUUUUGGUAUUGCCUUGAAUCUUAGACUUCUUCCACCUCAAACUCUUGAUUAUUAUCCACUUCUAUAGAAAGAAGUGGCAUUUAUCUUUUUUGUGAGAUAUUCACUAUCUUAUAUUAUUUAAAAAGAAAUAUGUAGAAUAUGGGAUGAAAUUUCAUAGACUUUGGUAGAUAUAAUCAAUAAGCAACAUGAUUGGAAUUUUUACAAAUAGGAAAUGGUCUAAACUAAUAAUAAUCCAACUUGUUAGAAGAAUGGCUAGUCUUAAUAUUGUGUUGAAGUUAUUGUACCUUAUUAAUAACAUAAAAUUGAAAUUACUCUUUGUGAUAGGCAUUUACAUUGGUCUUUUAUUAUUCUUGAACUUUGUAUAGUUGUAGCUAUAUUAUUAUAUGUAGCUCAGAUAAAUGAUUCACCAAAUCUUUUGUUGUAAGAUUAUUAACUUUUGAGAAGUCAAAAACGUCAAAUUGUAGAUGAUAACCAUAAUUAAUAAAGAAAAGUAUUUAUUGCAUAAAAGAAUGUAUUAUGUUAUUAUAAAAAAAAAUUACCAAUGUCAAAAGAAUUGUCUAUUUAUCUUAUUGGUACUUGAUAGUAUAUCUUAAAUGCAAUUCUAAAACAUCUUUAAUGUAUUUCACUUAUCCAUCAAUUUAAAAAUAAAAGAUUGAAAUAGCUUCAUGUCCACCUUUAGAAUCUUGAAAAGGGAUUUUUAGAAUCUUGAUAUAAAUUUAGUCUUUUGCAUCAAUUUAAUAUCCUUAUGGGAUCCUAAAUAGUAAAAAAUAUUUUCAAGAAAAACUUUGGAGAAGUCCUUUACCUCUUUUUAAGAAUUAUUAAAUCAUAAACCUUAAACCCUAAACUAUUAACUUGUAGAUAAGUCCUUUGCUUCUAUAUAAGAAUCCUUGUCCCGAAUCUUAUAACAAAUCUAUUUCCUUCUACAUCAUCAUUUCUCAUAGUCCGACCAAUUACUAUAGGACUUGUAUCCAUUGUUACAACUAGUAGUCUUCCACAUUGAUAAUCUACUUGCCUAAGUACAGAAGGAGAGCUCAAUAUUUUUUUGAGAUUUUCCAUAGCUAUCUCUUGUUCUUCUUUCCAAAAAAAUUCUUAAUCUUUUUUAAUAACUUGUAUAGUGGCUCUUAAAUAUGAGCAUAGUAAGGCACUCAAAUGUGAUAGAAUACACAUGCUUCUUAAAACCUUCUAGCUUUUGUAACACUUUUAUAAGCCUUCAUUCUUAAUAUAGCAUCAAUUUUAUCAGGGUUUGAUUUUCUACAAAAUGUGCCACACAUGUGUCCUACUACUAGAAUCUCAUCAACUCCAAAGCUUGAUUUUUCUAAAGAUAAUAUGACAUUAAUUGAUUUCAAUAUCUCCAAUAUCUUAGCUACAUCUUUAAUGUGCUUCUUAACAAACUUUUUGCAACCUUCAACUUCUAUACUCUCAUCUUUGUCUUCUUUUCUAUUUUUUUUAUAGAUAUAUCAUCCAAAAAUAGAAUAUUUUUUUCAAGUAUAAAUUCUUUCAAUAUUUUGCCCAUAUCAUUUUGCAUAUGAGCCACUGAAUUGGUUGCAUCUUGAGGUAAUAUAUACAUCUUUAUUAAACCUAAAAGAAUCUUCAUGGUAGUUAAAUGUCUACUCUCCUCAGUCAAUUGAAAUUGAUCAUUCCAAAGAUACAAGUUUCUAAUAUAAUAGAUGAUAUGACCUAUAAAUUGCUCAACCACUUUAUCUAUUAUGGGAAUUGAUUCCAUGUUUUAGAUAGUUACUUUGUUUGUAGGUUGCAUAUCCUAAAUGAAGCUUAAUGUUGUUGACUUCUUGAGUACUAUGAAUCAUCUAUUAGAAUAAAGAACAAUUGAAGGUUCCAAGAUAUGCAUCUUUACCUUUUCUUUUAAUAAUCCUAUCAAUUUUGGAAGGAAAGUUCUAAGCACAAGUAAAGGCUUUAAAUCCCAUGAAACAUGUGGUACUAUAAAGAUUACCAUAGGUACCAUAAUACUAGGAUCCACACAUUCAAUCUCAUUAGGACUCAAGGCUAAUGCCUUACCAUGUCUAAUAAGUAUUUCUUGAAACAUAUUUUUUUUCAUUGAUGUCGAGAAAUCAUCUCCUUCAAUCUUCAGUUUAACUAAUGAUUCUUAAGCAAAUUAAUGUCUAAUUUUGUCUCUCUUAAACUUUGUUUCUUAACUACUUGCUUGAUAUGCUCUACAAUAUCAAUUGAUAAUUGAAUGGCUCUAGGUUUUAUCUUUUUUACUAUAAUUUUAUAUUUAAUGUAUAUUUUUGCCUCAUGUUUCAAUCUAUAGCUUGUAGUUAGCUCACUAUUUUCUACUAUCUUUUUUAACUCUUCAUAUAUCUUUCUUGAGUUUAUUUCUACUUUAACAUCUCUAUCCCUACUUAUAGCUAAAUUUUCUAGAACUUUUAUCAAAUCAUCUUUUAUACCUAUUUCUUCUAUUAUUCUAACUAUAGCUUCAUCAUUUGAAACUAAAUCCAUUCUUUUUAUAAAAAAAUCUUAUUUCUUUAUCUUUCUUUUACUUAUAGAAUUUAAAUCUUUAAUCUUUUGAAUAUUCACAAAUCUAUUAUUAAUCAAGUUCAAAAAUCCAAAACUUAUAUUAUUUAUAUUGGACUUUGCAAACAAUUUAUUUACAUCCAUGUGUCCUCAUCCUACUGGGGUACUCUCUAGAAAUCCACAAAAUUAUUUCUUAGCUCCAAAGACAUCUUUCUUAAUUUUUCUUUGUACCUCUCAUGAAUAGGUUUUACAGUAAUAAAUUACACAGCUUUUCUUCCAUUCCAACUACGAAUCUUGGUAUAAUGUGAAUCAUCAUCCAAGAUUCAAGUCUCUAUUAUAACAGCUGUAAUAUAAGGUUGACCAAGUAUUAUCAAAUAUGAAGCAAUGUUUUACACAAAGAAAUUUUGUUCCACUUCUAUAUCUCCAAUCUUAGUCUUUACGGCUAAACAAGUUCAAUAUAAAUCACCUUGUUGGUUUUUUGUAGCUCUAAUUAUUCAAGCAUGGUUGAUAUCAAUUGGCCACUUGUUCUUCUCAUAUAUCUUCCUUAACAUAAUGUUGAUUUUAUUUCCAUGAUCAACUAAGGCCAAAAUUAGAUCUUUAAAAUCUCUCAACUUUAUAUAUGUUUUUGUUGUAGCUCUAGUCCAAUAAAGAACUAAAUAGCUACUUCUUCCUAUUCCAUCAUUAUCACAUUUAGAACAAGUGUUUAUACAUACUUCUAUUAUAUUCUUCUUUAUCUCAAUAAAUUCUAUAGAUGUAUAUUUCAUUUGAUGUUCUUCUAUAGCCUCUUCAUAUUUAGUUAAAGCCUUGUCUCUCAUAUCAACCUUAUUUUCAACUUUUGGCAUUAUAAAUUGUGAAAAUACUUGUUUUAUCUCUUCUUCUUCAUCCAUAGUUAUCUGAGUAUUCAAUGCCUCUACCAUAAUAGCUUUAGUUGUCAUUUAUCUCUUCUUCUUUAUCACAUUAAUGAUCAACUCAUAGAAAUCCUUUUUAGGUAUAUCUUAGAGUGAAUUCAAUUUUGGCAUCUAAGAUCUUUUCCUCUAAAAUGCUCUUCAUAUUUAUAGAUGUCUCAAUAUCAAAUUGAAGCUUAUAAGUAAGAUUUUUAUCUUUAGAUUUGCUUGUAUCAUCUUUCUUCUUCUCUUUGACCUUCUUCCACCACUCUUUUGGUAAUGAUGCACCACCAAAAUAAGUAGAAGAAGGUAUUUUCUCCGAUUUUUUCUCUGUAAAAGCUUCUUUGUUUUUUAGAGACCUCUUUUUAUUUUCAGACUCAACAUCCUCCUCAUCAAUGGUUCUAUUUUUUUUUCUUCAACCAUGGCAUCAUGUAAUUCAUUUUCAUGUUUGUUUCCACAUAAAAAUACUUUAACACUAAUAGCAUCAACUAAAUCAUUCCAUCCAAUUAUUUUUCUCAUAGCUUUAGAUCCUUUGAUCAUAGCUUCCGUAGUUGAUAAAGAAAUAGCCUUAACUACUUUUUCUUCAACUAUAAUAGAGUAAGACUCAGUUUCUUUUCAUUAUUUGGCAUUAUUCUUUAAUGUUUGGUCCUCUACUAAUUUUUUCAUACCACCUUUCUCAACAUUAGUCUUCAUUUGGCCCUUGUAAGUCUUAUCCUAUUUUCUUUGAAAUAUACAAUACCAUCCUUGAUUUCAGCCUUGUAGCUAUCAUACUCACCAUGCUUGUGGUUUGAAUUGUCACACCACAUAUAUCUUUUUACAAAUCCCUUUGAUCCUUCAAUUGUCUUUGAUGAACUUGCCAUCUAGGAUUUCUUUAAUUUAAUCAUUUUUACCUUCAAAUAUUGUAUGCUUUUGAUUAAUUCUUCAAGAGUAUCAUCCUUUAUAGUCUUAAAUACUUUUUGAGGUGGCACUAGAUUUUGAAAUUCAAGCACUGGCUCCACCUUGAUAUUAAACCACAAGUCUUAAUUUUCUGUUGUUUAGCCAAAAGCUCCAUUGCCUCUUUUAGUAGCUUCUAAUUAUUUAUAAAACUACUCUUAGAUUUAUUAUCUAUCAAAUAAAAGAGUAUCUUAUUCUCAAAAUAUUCAUUAGCUGCUUGCAAGAAUAAUUCAAUUUUUUUUGUUUCCAAGAAUUGUCUCUCUUGUCAUGACAAUUGUCCAAACUUAGUUUCAAAUUCCUUAAUUAACUCAUUUGGAGCCAUUUGAUUUCUCGGCCUUUGCUUGAUCCACUCCAAAAAAGUCACUUUAGUCAUUCUUAUUGAAUCUUCUUCAAAAAAUUCAUCCUUCAAAAGUUCUUCAAAUUUCUUCUAUAAUAUAGCCUUAGUAUGUAACUCUUAUAUUCUCUCUCUGAUUUUUGGUAUCAUUGCCAAAUCAAAUGUGGUAAUUAUCUUCAUUUAUGAAACUUGAUGCACUUCCAUUUCAUACGUAUAAAUCCUUAGGAGCUUAAAGAUAUUCCUCCCAUCAAACCUUCUAACCUUAUCCACUACUACUUAUAAAGCUUUAGUAGUGUUUUUAUUUUCUCCAUGUACUUAUUGCCUCUCUUCCAUAAAUUGAGCAAAUACUAUAAAUAAAUCAUAGGCACCCACUCGACCUAGUAAUGAAAAUCCAUGAUUUUGAUCCCCCAUCUUAACUUAUUGAAAUAAUUAGUAUCUUAAAGCUCUCUCAAUAGAAGCAUCAAUAUAUCAAGAUAGAGAGAAUUUGCUUCAAGAAAGCACUAGGCUCCUGGCUGUCACUAAUUACUUAAUCAAGUCUUCAAAUAAAAAAGACCAAAUUUUUUAUAUAUAUAUAUAUCCUUUCAAAAAUAUCCAAAAUAUAAUAAAAUAAAAAAAAAAAAAAAAAAAAAAAAAAAAAAAAACUCUAAAUCCUUAUAAAUCCUUAUAAAUUCUUAUGGGAUAUUAUUUUCAAACUUCAACAACUCAUAUCUCUCAAUUGGACUAUUCAAACAUACUCAAAUAUUAUAUAAAGUAUUGAUGUACUUCUAAAAACUACCACAACAAAUUUCAACUACAAAUUCAUCAUGGAUCUUAAGAUAUUACCAAAACCCUAACAGUAGCUUCAAAACCUUAAUUUUUAUAUACUUGCAUAUAAUUUUCUUUAUAUCUCAUAAACUAAGUACUCAAAUACCAAAUUUUUUAUAUAUAUAGCUUUUUAAUACAUUAUUCCAUCUUUUUUAAAAUAUUUGAGCUAAAAAUUCAUUCGACAACUUAAGAUAUGGCUCUAAUCAUUACUUUGAAUAAAAUCACUUACUUAUUGCCUUUAAUUUAAAUGUAUUGACUUCAACUCUCUAUAACUUCUUCAUCUAGACUUUAAAUAUAAUAAUUUCUUCAUAAAAGAUGUAAGUCAUGAAAUUGCCGUUCUAAUUGCACCUUUUAAUCUCAAAAAACUAUUGUAAAAUUCCUCGUAUGCUCAAAAGAACAAUAGUAUGUCUUAAAAUGAUAUCUUUACUUCAAAUAGCUAUAAUUUCUUCAACUUAACUCCAAACUCACUAAUUUUUAUAUCCAAAUUAUAAUCCAAAUCCUAAAACUUAUAAUUCUAGCUUUUGAUUCUCAAAUGUUCUUUUGAGGUCACUACAAAAUCUUCUCAUGGUUGCAGACUAUCUCCUAAAAGCCUAUUGGGCAUAGCCUUCGAUCAAUAGGGAUGAAGAUCUUCAUCUGUUAUCUUCAUCCAUCCAUACUUUACCUUCGUCCCUCCAAAUAAGCUUCUUAAUAGUUUGAGUCUUCAACUUUGAGCUCCAAUCUUCUCUUAUAACUUUAUUCUAAAUAUCUAAAUCUUAUAUAAUUUAAACACUAUAAUAAAUAUAAAUAAACCUCAAAAUAAUUUUUUCACAUCAAAAAGUAUGUGACUACAAAAAGUCCAAGUCAUGACCUCAUUUUGAUUAUGGGUAUUCAUUUAGAACUUCAUCUCUUAGUCCAUCUUAGACUCAUGAGCUUUACUGAAACAUAUUAGCAAAUAAAGAAGGAAAUGAAGGGUGGACAGAGCCUGCUUAUGAAUCCAAAUUCAAAGAAAGCAUUAGGGGUCAACUAUACUGAAGAGAGUACAAUUUUAUACGUCACCAAAUUAAUGGAGUGGCUAAGUUCAAUGUACAUUAAGUCAAAAUCCAAACAUAAGAGAGUCAAAAAAUCAAUCAUAACUUUAUAAUUCUAAAUUCUAAAUCUUCAACUUUUAAUUCCUAAAUCUUAAAUCCUAAAUUUUUAGCCUUUGAUUUUAAGCUCUAAAUAUAAAUUCUAAAUCCUAAAUAUUUAAUCCUAAAAUUCUAAAUUCUAAAUUCUAAAUCUGAUGUAAUUUUUUAUAAUAGAAUUUAAAAAUCAAUAAAGUAAUUUUUACAAAAAUCUUCAAAUUUUAUUUUAAUAAUUACUAAUGAAUUAAAAAUAUAUUUCUAAAUAUUUUUUAAAUUGCAAAAAUAAAUCAAGAAUAUUCUAUUAUCUUUAUUUUAUAUUAUAUAACAAAAAAAUUAAUUUAAAAAAUCUUAAUCCUAAAUUAUACAUAAAUUAUCAAAAAAUCAUAAUUUUAUUUUUUAUGAUUUUUUUAACUAUUAAUUUAAAUAAAAAUAUUUUUAUAAAUAAUAUGUAUAUAAGAUAAUUUUUAGUUAUUUUAUUAAAAAUAGAUAAGAACUAUAAAAAAGAAAAAAUAUAGAUAUUUGAAUAGAAGCUCACAAAUAGCUUUUGUUAGUAUUGAUAAAGUCAAAAAAAUCUUCAUUAUUCUUUAUAAAUAUUUAUUAUUUAUAGAUGCAUAUUAAAAAGUAAUGUAAUAAAAUACCUCUUAGAUUAAAACUACAAAUAAAUACUACAUUAUAAGAUUUUAUCUAUGAUUUUAUUAUAAAUUUUUGUAUAAUCAACUAUCUAUCUAAUACUUUGGAACAAUGACUGUAUAGUGGAUUGGACAAUAUUUUUAUUAAUAUAAAUGGACAAUAUUUUUAUUAAUAUAAAUGGACAAUAUUUUUAUUAAUAUAAAUGGACAAUAUUUUUAUUAAUAUAAAUAAUAUAAAAUUGGUAAAUAUUUUUACCAACUACAAGGACUUAUACAAGUAGCAAAAAAAUUAUUGAAUGUUAUUUUUUCUACUAAUUUGACUUAUAUUGUAUUAGAUUCAAAUACAUGGAGGAAAAUUGCCAAAUAGAAAAAUUAAGAUAAAUAGAAGUAAUUACCAAUUAUUUUAGUCUAAUAAGUUGUUUCAAUAAUUUUUAAUUUAUGACUGAUACUAAUUGGUAUUAACUACAAUUAGUAUAACCACACUUGCCAAAUUUUUGUCUUAGAUUAGAUUUAAUACAAUUGUUGUUUAUGACUAAUUUAAAUAAAACUAUCUUCUUGUUAUUUUUUUAUGAACUUCUUUUAAAUUAACAAAAAGUCUAAUUAAAAAGAUUAUAAACUUUGAAUCUAAUAUAAAUUAGUGUGAUUUUUCUUCUAAUAGUUAUUAUUAAUCUAAAAGAUUUUUAAUGGUAAUAAAAUUAAAUAAAAAGUAAGCAAUCCACUUCAAUCACAAAUCCAAUUAUCUUCUAACUACAGCAAUGUCAAUUUGCAGUAAUAUAUUAAUUAAAUCUAAUUUAAUAAAAAACAAAGACUUCAUCAUGUUGUUAAUACUUAUUAGCUCUAUUUUGGGACCUUAACAACAUCAAAACACCAAUUAGGUAAUUACCUAUCUUUCAUUUGGCAAUACAAUUCUCUCCAAUUUAUGCUCUUUGUAGACUGCUUGAAAUGAUUUACUUCCUUUUUGGUAUAACCAUGCACCCUCACUUAAAAUACUUGAAGACACUUAAUUAAAAAGAAGAUGCUUUAUUUUUCAAGUAUUCAAUCCUUCUUGGUUGAUAACAUUCCCUCGACUAAAGAAUCUUUUUUCCAUUGGGAUCUUUCUUACUUAAUAGUGUGGUUGGUUAUAACCACUAAUUGUUUUGCAAUAACCUAUUUGACAACCUAUACUUGGUUAGCAACCUAUUGGUAGACUAAAUAAAAACUAACUAUCUAUUUUUGAAUUUAAAAUAAAAAUUUAAAUUUUUUUUGACCUAUGAACUUAAAACUACAAGAUGUUUAUAAGAAUCUAAUUUGAAUUUUAAGUUUUGAAGUGCAAUCACUAAAAGAUACAAUGGAAAUAUUUUUUAAAAUUUUAUUUCAAGUUCAAUUUUGACUUUGCAACCCUUUGUCCCUCUUCCUUUAGCCCCUUGGCCUCUUCCCUUUCUCUCAACUUUGAGCUCCCAAUUUGUGUGGACAAGCAUGGGCAGGCACAUUAAAACAAAAAUAGAGUUGUCCAAGAUCUAUUAAUGAAUUUUUUAAAUUACUAAGAUUCUAGUCUGGGAGACAUCUAAUGCUAGCCCAGAAUAAGCACAUCUAUGAUCCAAAAUUCACCCAUGCACCACAACAAUUUCACCAAUCAGUAACAUUCAAUGGUCAGUCGCACAGUUAACAGCCAAAACUCUAUUGGCUGCUGCAGGUCUAGAUUGGAUCAGCAUGACAUGCAUUUAUUUGUGAUGAGACCUUGCCUUGUAUAGUUGUUGCUUCACUGUAUAUUAGUUGAAAUCAAAGAAUAAAACCCUAUUAAAUGAUGCCUUGGAUGUGUGCAAUCUGUGUGGAUACAUUUAGGUAGCAGUUGUUCUAUCAGAGGACUUCAGUUAAGUGGACAAUAUACUGAUAUUCCACCCAUUGUGCUCCAGAGCAGGCUAGUGUUGCAUCAGGCAACAGUAUUGCUGGAGAAGCCAUUGACCUUAUCAGUAGACAUUUGUGGAGGCAUGUUCCCACGAUUGGACCCUCUGAAUCAUUUGAAGAAAUACAGAGGAGGCUUUGAUGUCACCAACAUGCACUACUGGAGUGUAAGUUUUUCAAGGCAAAGACUUCUUUCUGUGACAACAUUGCAGUUGUCACCUUGCAACAAUUCUAGGAAUAGUCACAUGAACUUCCUCUGCUCAUGAUCCCUUGACCUUUGCAUUGUGCCUUCAAAAACAACAAGGUCUAAAUGAUGCUUUCUCUGUGAUGAUCAGUUUAUUUCCAAGUAGCUUGUCCACAAAUAAGAUUUUCAGAAGAAUUUUACACCACUUCUCUUCUCCACAACCAAUCAUUCAACAUCCCAAAGCAACUCUGACUUGAUGUCACCAUCAAAUUUCCUGCUCCCAAACCUCUGUGAUCACUGAGAGGAAAUUUUUCUGUGUAUGAAAGGAGACCAGUAAAAGAUGAAUAUAGUUAGCAGCAUGUCUUGUAUUUGUGCUGUGUGAAAGUUUAGGUUAAUUUAAAGCCCCAUUUAAAUCUAUUUUCAUAAGGUGCUCUUGCUGGUGGAUGAUUAUAUUCUCAUUGCAUUGAAUAGCUCCAUAAUCAACUUGCUCUCAUGCAAUGUUCCUGUUUCCAAUCUGCAAUAUUUUCUUCUGAAUUUGGAAAUCCAGUGGUGUGAAAAAAUACUAUUGGAGGGGGUUGCAAUCCUUUUAUGUUCAAUUUGGAAACUUCACUCUCAUAAAAUGGUUUCAUGGGCUUUGUUGUGGAGUAAACAGUCUCUUGCCUACACAGGAAUCUGGGGCUACAUAAUUGCUGCUUCUUGCCUCAUAUUUGGAGUUGGGUCAGUCAUAUGGCAGCACUACAACUGGCGUUAUGAGUUGAAGAAAACCACUUUCAAUCCUUCUUUGGAUAAGCUUCACAGUGUAUCUGUGUACUGCAUGAUACAAUUCAGCAUACUCCUUUUGUCAGCUCCAUCCCACUUCUGGCAGUUAUUUCUGUUUCAAUUUUGUCAUGUAGAAAUAUGUUUUUUUUCCUUUUGUUUCAUUUAAUGUUUUAACCUGAAAGCAAGGAAGCAAUUUGGAAUAAUAUUGAUAAAUUCAAAAUAAUUUGAAGUAAUCAAAAUGUAUACCACACUUCAGAGCCAUGCAACUGUAGCCAUAAAACGAGUAGAAAACUGGAAGACUUAAAAAAUGCAGAUGCUUUGCAGAGGAGCCAGUGGUGUAAUAUUGUGGGAAAAUGAUAAGCUUGUCCAUGAGCUAAAGAAAACUGGAGGGAUCUUGGUUAGCACUGUGGACCAAGUCACUGUAUGCACAUUGCAAAACCCUUACAUCAAAGGCAAAUUGUAUAUAUUUUACUGGAUGAUAGUUUGAAAUCUCCUUAUUUCUUUCUACAUUUUUCCAGUAUUUUGCUAAAAAAACAUAUUAAAUAUUUACACUUUCUUUUUUCUUUUUAUUCAUUUCCACAGAUGUAAGUGAUAACUUAAAUAGCUUUGUGAUGGCUCUUCACAAUUAUCCCAAAUAGAAUGGCUUACAUUUUUAUGUAACUCUUGAGGGUUUUGCAGUUGCAAGUUGAUGGAGCUAUUAACAUGAUUCCCUUAUCCAACAUCAGUCCCAUGGCAAAUCAGGAUAUGGCAAAGAGUACCCUCUCUGCCUGUAAUAACCUUGGUGACACAUUCA